rnacentral:rRNA from 1 species
ACGGACUGGAGAUCUGGGUCACCUCCCACCCGUGUUUAUUUACCUUAUUGCUUCGGCGGGCCCGCCUUCACUGGCCGCCGGGGGGCUCACGCCCCCGGGCCCGCGCCCGCCGAAGACACCCCGAACUCUGUCUGAAGAAUGAAGUCUGAGUGAAAAUAUAAAUUAUUUAAAACUUUCAACAACGGAUCUCUUGGUUCCGGCAUCGAUGAAGAACGCAGCGAAAUGCGAUACGUAAUGUGAAUUGCAAAUUCAGUGAAUCAUCGAGUCUUUGAACGCACAUUGCGCCCCCUGGUAUUCCGGGGGGCAUGCCUGUCCGAGCGUCAUUGCUGCCCUCAAGCCCGGCUUGUGUGUUGGGCCUCGUCCUCCGAUUCCGGGGGACGGGCCCGAAAGGCAGCGGCGGCACCGCGUCCGGUCCUCGAGCGUAUGGGGCUCUGUCACCCGCUCUGUAGGCCCGGCCGGCGCUUGCCGAUCAACCCAAAUUUUUAUCCAGGUUGACCUCGGAUCAGGUAGGGAUACCCGCUGAAC